rnacentral:rRNA from 1 species
CCUACGGGAGGCAGCAGUAGGGAAUAUUGCUCAAUGGGGGAAACCCUGAAGCAGCAAAGCCGCGUGGAGGAUGAAGGUUUUAGGAUUGUAAACCCCUUUUGUUAGAGAAGAAUAUGACGGUAUCUAACGAAUAAGCACCGGCUAACUCCGUGCCAGCAGCCGCGGUAAUACGGCGGGAGCAAGCGUUAUUCGGAAUCACUGGGCGUAAAGAGGGCGUAGGCGGGGUAAUAAGUCAGAUGUGAAAUCCUGUAGCUUAACUACAGAACUGCAUGUGAAACUGUUACUCUUGAGUGUGGGAGAGGUAGGUGGAAUUCUUGGUGUAGCGGUGAAAUCCGUAGAGAUCAAGAGGAAUACUCAUUGCGAAGGCGGCCUGCUGGAACAUUACUGACGCUGAUGCACGAAAGCGUGGGGAGCAAACAGGAUUAGAUACCCUGGUAGUC